ACAAGCGGUGGAGCAUGUGGUUUAAUUCGAUGGUACGCGAGAAACCUUACCUGGUCUUGACAUCCCGGAGACCCUUAGGAAACUAGGGGGUGCUUCCAUCUGGAAGAAUCUGGAGACAGGUGCUGCAUGGCUGUCGUCAGCUCGUGUCGUGAGAUGUUGGGUUAAGUCCCGCAACGAGCGCAACCCUUGCCUUUAGUUGCCAGCAGUUCGGCUGGGCACUCUAAAGGGACUGCCGGUGUUAAACCGGAGGAAGGUGGGGAUGACGUCAAGUCCUCAUGGCCUUUAUGACCAGGGCUACACACGUACUACAAUGGCCGAUACAAAGGGCAGCGACACUGCGAGGUGAAGCCAAUCCCGUAAAAUCGGUCUCAGUCCGGAUUGGAGUCUGCAACUCGACUCCAUGAAGUUGGAAUCGCUAGUAAUCGUGGAUCAGCAUGCCACGGUGAAUACGUUCCCGGGCCUU
rnacentral:rRNA from 1 species